GACGAACGCUGGCGGCGUGCUUAACACAUGCAAGUCGAACGGAAAGGCCCUGCUUUUGUGGGGUGCUCGAGUGGCGAACGGGUGAGUAACAAGUGAGUAACCUGCCCUUGACUUUGGGAUAACUUCAGGAAACUGGGGCUAAUAACGGAUAGGAGCUCCUGCUGCAUGGUGGGGGUUGGAAAGUUUCGGCGGUUGGGGAUGGGCUCGCGGCUUAUCAGCUUGCUGGUGGGGUAGUGGCUUACCAAGGCUUUGACAGGUAGCCGAGCUGAGGGGGGGACCGGCCACAAUAGGACUGAGAUACGGCCCAGACUCCUACGGGAGGCAGCGGUGGGGAAUAUUACACAAUGGGCGGAAGCCUAAAGCAGCAACGCCGCGUGCGGGAUGACGACCUUCGGGUUGUAAACCGCUUUCGCCUGUGACGAAGCGUGAGUGACGGUAAUGGGUAAAGAAGCACCGGCUAACUACGUG
rnacentral:rRNA from 1 species